UGUGGUCAUGCAGAUGAAGUUGAAAGCCUUGCUGCAGCGAGGAAAGCUGCUAUAUCCAGUUCAGAACCUUCAGAUUCUAUUCGGGUUGUAAAUGCAUUACUAACUCAGAUUGACAAGUUAAUAUCAUCUCCAAAUGUGAUAAUCCUAAUCACAUCCAACAUAACUACUGCUAUUGGAAAAUUAUUAUGAAGUAGAAAAAGAACUUAAUCACACAAAUUGUGAAGAUAAAAAAUUAGAGAGUAAAAAUCACCAAUUUGUGAAGAUGA